ACCAAUCUAAUCAGUCUCUUGAUGCUACAUCGGAAAGGGAUUGGAGUUGAGUGUUUUACCUUGUCUGCCCGCAUCUGUCUUGGGUUUGACAAGGUUCACUUGAAAUGCAGGGGAGACAAGGAUAUCUGUGGCAUGGAGACUUGUUCCAUCUAACAAUGAUUUGAUGAAAAGAGAUAAUUUGAUUUGUCUCAUCUCAAAAAAUCUUGUUUAGGAACGUCUUGACGCGCUUUGUGAGUAGGGCUCUGCCCUGCUAGAAUCAGCAACAUGCCCUCUUGCUCUUGUUUCCACAACUAGGGAAGAAAGAAAGAGUUUUGUACCUCUGAAU
rnacentral:misc_RNA from 1 species